GAGUUACUAUCAGCGGCAAGGUUAAGUCGUAAGACGAAGCCGUAGCGAAAGCGAGUCCGAAAUGGGCGUACAGUCGCUGGGUGUAGACCCGAAACCAGGUGAUCUAUCCAUGGCCAGGAUGAAGGUACCGUAACAGGUGCUGGAGGUCCGAACCGACUAGUGUUGCAAAACUAGCGGAUGAGCUGUGGAUAGGGGUGAAAGGCUAAACAAACCUGGAGAUAGCUGGUUCUCUCCGAAAACUAUUUAGGUAGUGCCUCAAGUAUUACCGACGGGGGUAGAGCACUGUUAUGGCUAGGGGGUCAUGGCGACUUACCAAACCAUUGCAAACUCCGAAUACCGUUGAGUACAGCUUGGGAGACAGUGCACCGGGUGCUAACGUCCGGACACAAGAGGAACAACCA
rnacentral:rRNA from 1 species